rnacentral:rRNA from 1 species
ACUGCUCAGUAACACGUGGACAAUCUGCCCUGAAGUGGAGAAUAAUCCCGGGAAACUGGGGGUAAUACUCCAUAGUUCGUUAUUACUGGAAUGUUUUUCGAACGAAAGAUCCGUCGCUUCAGGAUGAGUCUGCGGCCGAUUAGGUAGUUGUUGGGGUAAUUGCCCAACAAGCCUGUAAUCGGUACGGGUUGUGGGAGCAAGAGCCCGGAGAUGGAUUCUGAGACACGAAUCCAGGCCCUACGGGGCGCAGCAGGCGCGAAAACUUUACCAUGCGGGCAACCGUGAUAAGGAAACCCCGAGUGCCAGCACAGGCUGGCUGUCCGCCAGUUUAAACAACUGGCGAAGAAAGGGCCGGGCAAGACCGGUGCCAGCCGCCGCGGUAAUACCGGCGGCUCGAGUGGUGGCCGCUAUUACUGGGCUUAAAGGGUCCGUAGCUUGAUAAUAGGGUCCCUUGAGAAAUCCGCCGGCUUAACUGGCGGGCGUUCAGGGGAAACUUGUUUUCUAGGGACCGGGAGAGGUGAGGGGUACUGCCGGGGUAGGAGUGAAAUCCUGUAAUCCCGGUGGGACCACCUAUGGCGAAGGCAUCUCACCAGAACGGGUCCGACAGUGAGGGACGAAAGCUGGGGGAGCAAACCGGAUUAGAUACCCGGGUGGUCCCAGCUGUAAACUAUGUGCGUUAGGUGUGUCAGUGACCACGUGUCACUGAGGUGCCGAAGGGAAACCGUGAAACGCACCGCCUGGGGAGUACGGUCGCAAGGCUGAAACUUAAAGGAAUUGGCGGGGGAGCAC